CAACAUGGACACCCAAAUUCUAAACCUUAAUAUAUGAACCCUUAACCCAUACAUACCUUAAACCCUAAAUCCAUAUACAUGUUAAACGAUAAACCCUUAACCCAUAUAUACGUUAAACCCUAAACCAUAUACUCGUAUCCUUACACAUACAUGUACAUAUAAAAGAAAUACAUAUAUGACACAUGCACAUAAGCAUGCAUGCAUAUGUUAAAUCCUAAACUCUAUACUCGCAUGCUUCCCGAUACAUACAUACACAUAUCAAACCUUAAACCCUAUACUUAGAUGUUGGAUACACAUACACACAUAUAACUAGAUCUAGAUGCACAUUAAAAAUAAUAAUAGUAUAAUUAUAGUAAGCCUAAUAUUAAUGAAAACAUAUAUUUAUAUACAAAAAAAAUUAAUUAUAAUAAAUCUAAUAAGAAAAUAAUAACAAUAAUAUUCAAAAUAAUAGUAAUAAUUGUUAUUUUAUUUCCAUUAGUAAUAAUAAUAAUAAUAAUACUAAUAAUAAUAAUAAUAAUAAUAAUAAUAAUAAUUAAAAAAAAUAGGGGGCAAGGUAAAACAAAAUGAAGGGAAAACAAAAAGAAAAUAUGGGAAACAAUUUCAGGAUGCCCCCGUCACAUUUUAACGAAAUUAUAAUUCCAACAAAAUUAUUUAUUAAUAUUUCGUUGGUAUUUUGUAGGAAACUUCUUACGCUUUUCUGACAAAAUCUUUAGGGUAUCUACUUCUCUAGGAAAUUUGUAUGAAUUUUGUUAGAUUUUACUUUUGUCAUAAGUUUGUAGGAAAUUCGAUGUCUAUUUCCUAGAAAACACUUUCGACGGAAAUAUUUUGUAGCUAAAACAAAAUAUUUUAAUAGCAUAGAUUUAAACUUUUAUUUUAGAGUCGAUAUUAUUUGGAAUGAAAACAUUUUAAUAUUCGUUAUUGUGUAUAUUUCUAACAACUUUUUUGUUUUUGUUUUUGAAAGAUUCGGAUUCAAAAACACGUUUUCUUUAGAAUGCAUGUGAAUCAUAUAUGAAAAAGUUGCCAUUGCAACUUGCAACGUGGUUCAAGUUUGUCCACAUCUUUACUAUGACAAUAAUUGAAAUCGUUCUCCUCCAGUACCUGUGCAUUUCAUCAACAUAAAACAAUUAUUGAUAUCGCUCUGUAGAUCCACUCCACCACCGGACCUUUACUAUAUUCUCCGCCCUUCAACAAUGGCUGAAAUAGUACUUUCUGCCUUCUUCUCGGUGUUAUUUGAAAAGCUAGCCUCUGAUUCGUUGAAGAAGUUCACUCGCCUUAAAGGAAUUGAUUCCGAGAUCAAGAAACUGAAGAGAUCAUUAAACCAGAUCAAAUUUCUGCUUCAUGAUGCUUCUCGUAAGGAAAUAACUGAUGAGAGUGUUAAAGAGUGGCUUAAUGGUCUCCAACAUCUGGCUUACGACAUUGACGACCUACUUGACGAUUUGGAAACCGAAGCUAUGCAUCGUGAGUUGACCAAGGAACGUGGAGCCUCCAUAAACGUGGUAAGAAAUCUCAUCCCGAGUUGUUGCACAAAUUUCUCAGUAAGUACAAGUAUGCAUAGCAAGUUGGAUGAUAUUACCACCAAGUUACAAGAACUGUUCGAGGAAAAAGAAAAUCUUGGUUUAAGUGUGAGAAGUGAAAUCCCAAAACAGAUGAACAGACGAUUACAGACCUCUUUGGUUGAUGCAUCUAGUAUUGUCGGACGUGAAGGUGAAAAGGAUGCGUUGCUCCACAAGCUAUUGGAGGAUGAACCUUGCGAUAAAAACUUUAGCAUCGUGCCCAUAGUUGGUAUGGGUGGGGUAGGUAAGACCACUCUAGCUAGACUUUUGUAUGAAGAAAUGCAAGGGAAUGCUCACUUCGAACUCAAGGCGUGGGUUUGUGUUUCCGAUGAAUUUGAUAUCUUCAAUAUAAGUAAAGUUAUCUUUCAAUCCAUAGGCGGGGAAAACAAAGAAUUUAAGGACUUAAAUCUUCUUCAAGUAGCUUUAAAAGAGAAGAUCUCAAAGAAAAGAUUUCUUCUUGUUGAAAUCACACAAGAUAUUUUUCCCAACAUCUUCAUUUCUUAUAUCAAUUUAGGAUAAAGAAACAGAAGGUUUUCAUGUACUUACAACUGAAACCUCACUACAAAACCCUAAUCUACUCUCAUUCAAUCACACUCAACCCUAAUCUAAACAGAUCAUACGAAAAGAAACAUCCGAUCGCUGAUCUAUCAACAAACGAUUGAGAGAUUACAACAACUUGUUAACAUACACAAGAUCAGAAGUAGAUGUACGAACAAAGAAACUUGAGAAUACCCUAACUCUAUCUCUCAAGCUGAAGAAUGUGAUCUGCAAAAUAUCUCCACUCUCUCUCUUCUUUUAUAUCUAAGUAUCACGAAUAUGGAUCAACCCGACCCAUAUCAGAAGAUCCGCGCAUUUGUCCCUGCAUUUACAAUCUAAACCCACAACAAAUACUUCAAGCACAAUAAGCCCUUUAAGAAUACAAAUAAAUAUAAGAUUGAAUUAUUC
rnacentral:lncRNA from 1 species